CGAGUUGAUCGCUAGGGUUCCAGCAUCUCUUUGAUGUGUUCGGUCCGAGAGCGGUUGCCGCGGCGGGAGACAUCCGCCCGGAUGCACGGCGGGAUAAAAGCCCGGGAGAC
rnacentral:sRNA from 22 species